CUGACGUGCGGUGACGUCAUAAAAGGUGCGCUACAGCUCGUCUGUCGUUUGGGGGAAGAUUAAAGCGUUUGUGUGAGGUCUAUUCCUGUAAAUGCUGAAGAAACAAUCUUAAAUGAAGUCACUAUCACACCAGUUCAUCUAUAAAUGCUGUGAAAAAGUCAAACAAGCAGCUGCUGUCACAACACAUUCAACUACUCUACUAUUCUGAUCCACUGUUGUAAUGAUGGAGUGUGUUAAAGAGGAGACUGAUCCUGAAUCAUUCACUAUAACACCUCAACAUACUCAACAACAAACAGAUUUGGUGAAAGUGAAAGAGGAAGGUGAAGAAUGCAAUGAACUAAAGGAUGAACAUCAGGACCACAAUUUUGCGACUGACAGCUGCUCAGAAACUGAUGAGAAUUCCCCUCAAGAAAGUACUGAAGCCAAAAAGGUUUUUGAAUGCCAUCUUUGUGAUAAGACUUUCUCACUAAAAGGGAACCUAACGUAUCAUCUAAAGAGUCACACUGGUGAGAGACCUUAUGCUUGCUCCUACUGUGAGAAGACUUUUUUUCAAGAAUGUCAUCUUAGGUAUCACAUAAUAAAACACACUGGUGAGAGACCUCACGCAUGCUCUCAGUGUGAGAAGACUUUCAUCCAAAAAAAUCAACUUAAGUACCACAUGAUGAGUCACACAGGUGAAACGCCCUUUGCCUGCCCUUAUUGUGAUAGACGUUUUAUUAAAAAAGGAACUCUUAAUACUCACUUAAAGACUCACAGUACUGAAAGGCCGUACAUCUGCCCUCAAUGUGGAAAGAGUUUUUCACGGCAGGGACUCUUAAAUGCUCAUGUGAGACGCCACACUAGUGAUAAGCCGUACACCUGCUCUCAUUGUGGAAAGAGUUUCUUAUUUAAAUCACGUCUACAGGAUCACAUACGAAUUCACACUGGAGAGAAACCUUUUAAAUGCCCUCAGUGUGAUAAGAGCUUUAAACAACAAGGAGGUCUUAGGUAUCACAUAAGAAUUCAUACAGGUGAGAAGCCUUUCACGUGCCAUCUGUGUGGUAAGAGUUACAUACAUCCACAAGGUCUGAGAUUUCAUUUGCAGGUUCACUUGAAUGAAAGGCCGUUUAGUUGCGAUCAGUGCGAUAAGAAGUAUGUUUCAUCAACUCUGUUAAAAGAGCACCUAAAGACUCAUACAGGUGAGAAGCCAUAUUUGUGUUCUGCUUGUGGGAAGAGUUUUCCAUCUCUUAAAAGAGUUAAAUUGCACCAGAAGAGGCACGCAGGUGUGAAGUGCUCUGUGUGUGAAAAUUUAUUUUUGGGACCCAAAGAGCUGGAGCAGCACCAGAAGAUUCAUACUGGAGAAAACACCUAAAAGUGCUCACAUUGUGGGAAGAGUUUUAUUGAGUCUGUGACGCUGAUCAAACACAAGUGACUGUAUACUGGAGAGAAGCUGAAAUGCAGAUAAACGUUACACUUGAAAUUCUCCCCAAACAAUUAAUUUCAGUGCAUUAUCUACAAUAGAAACAUGUUAAUUUAAUAAAGUAACAUCAGACCAUCCAGAAGACUGGGUUUCCCGAUAACGAUUGAACUUAGCACUUAAGAGCGCUUUCUAUGAGCUACUUAAUGAACAUUCGUUGUUUAUAUAUGUGUGUUUCCCAAAAUGCACAUAAAACGAUCGCUCGCAGCUGGGUUUUAAGUGCUAGUGAAGAGUCGCUAUCCGUUUGUCAAGUGCUGAAAUGUCACCAAUUGAAUGACUUGAAUUUGUAGCAGAAGCUUGUUUAGGCUAAUGAUCUUCAGCUGAUGUGCACUUAUAUUUUUAUAAUAUUUUCAUUAUUGUUCAAUGACUUUUUAUGUUUUAAUAAUUUGUGCAUAAUUAUUAUAUUCCGUAUUUAGUUAGCACUCGUCCCACUGCAAAAUGUCUUCUGCAUUUUAUAUUAUAGUUUAGAUUAUUAUUAUUCUUUGUUGUUUAUAUCUAUGUUUAUUUAUUAUUAUGGAUUAUUGCAUUGUACCGUAUAUAUUUAUUUGGUUUCUUUUAUCAGAUGCCAUUUCAAAACAUUUUUUACUGUAGAUGAAUUAUACCAGCAAUUGGCAGGAACCUUUGAUCAAUUUGCUAGUACCAACAGAGUCAGAUUUGGCAGGCCUUCACAAAAAAAUGCCUUGACAAAAGGGCACUUUGCCAUCCAGGGGUAGAGGGGCAGGUGCUCAAGCACCCUCCACCCUGCACGUGCCUGCUUUGGAUAUAUAUCUAACUGGCUUUUUGUCUCAUCAAUUUAUUUCUCUUUAUUAUUCAUAUGAAGUCUGUUAUAUGUUAUUAUCAUUUUAACGGAUGUUUAAUUUAAGUUUCAUAACUUAAAUCAUGAUAUAUAUUUUCUAUAUAAUCUUAACACUAUAGUAAAUCAUUGGGGUUUACUGUAAUUGGAUUUUUUCAAAUGAAAUGUAUUCUUCUAACAAAUUCCUUAAUUAAAAUGUUAACAUGGAAUUAGUAUUAUUAUUUUUUUUUUUUUGCAAUAGCCAUUUUGAAAGACACUGAUCAAAUCUUAAUUUCAUUUUGCAAAACUUUUUUGGAGAUCAGCUCAUGGUUGUUCAAAAAAGAGGUCGUUUUUGAUGAUUUUGCUUUCACGUUAUAACAUGUUUUAUAUGAAAUAAGACUACUGAGUUCAGUUUUAUUUGCUUAAUAACAUUGUGAUAUUGGCAAAAUAUUUCAUUCAUAAAUUUAGAUUCUUAAAAUCCAUUCCACUAUUAAUUGUAUAUAGAAACAAUUUAAGCUUUUUUCUAAAGCCCUGGCCAAAAUAGGAGGUUGAAGUGGUUUUUAAUAUCAUAUGAUCUAUUUUGAUAUUGCCCUAAACAUUUAUUUUCUAUGUAUGUAAAUGAUUUCAAGUGUUUAUUUUUUAUUUAUUUAUUUUGACUAUGCAUGGUUAUGUUGCCUUUAUGUCAAUCGCUUCAUGUAGAAUGAAUACAUUUGCUUUUGUUGUAAUUAAAGUUUUGUAUUUAAUAAAAAAAGAUUAAAUAAGGAGACUUUUAUUUUGGUUCUUGAAGCUUAUCGUGUGGUGACGUCAUAAGGAGUGCGCUACCCCUCGUCUGUCGGUUGAGGCAUAUUGAGGUGUUUAUGUGAGUUCAUCUAUAAAUACUGCGAAGAAGUCAAACAAGCAGCUGCUGUCACAACACAUUCAACUACUCUACUAUUCUGAUCCACUGUUGUAAUGAUGGAGUGUGUUAAAGAGGAGACUGAUCCUGAAUCAUUCACAAUAACACCUCAACAUACUCAACAACAGAAAGAUUUGGUGAAAGUGAAAGCAGAAGAGGAAGAUCAAGAACACAAUGAAGUAAAGGAUGAACAUCAGGACCACAAUUUUAUGACUGACAGCUGCUUAGAAUCUGAUGAGAACUCCCCUCAAGAAAGUACUAAAGCCAAAAAUGGUUUUGAAUGCCAUCUUUGUGAUAAGACUUUCUCACUAAAAGGGAACCUAACGUAUCAUCUAAAGAGUCAUACUGGUGAGAGACCUUAUGCUUGCUCCUACUGUGAGAAGACAUUUUUUCAAGAAUGUCAUCUUAGGUAUCACAUAAUAAAACACACUGGUGAAAAGAAGCCUCACGCAUGCUCCCAGUGUGAGAAGGCUUUCCUCCAAAAAAAUCAACUUAAGUAUCACAUGAUGGUUCACACAGGUGAGAGGCCCUUUGCCUGCCCUUAUUGUGAUAGACGUUAUAUUAAAAAAGGAACUCUUAAUACUCACUUAAAGACUCACAGUACUGAAAAGCCGUAUGUCUGCGCUCAAUGUGGAAAGAUGUACACAUUUAGAUCACAUCUUAAGAAUCAUAUGAUAACUCACACUCAGACAAAGCCUUUCUCAUGCCCUCAGUGUGGAAAGAGUUUUUCACAGAAGGGACUCUUAACUGCUCAUAUGAGACGCCACACUAAUGAUAAGCCGUACACCUGCUCUCAUUGUGGAAAGAGUUUCUUAGGUAAAGCCCAUCUACAGUAUCACAUACGAGUUCACACUGGAGAGAAACCUUUCACAUGCCCUCAGUGUGAUAAGAGCUUUGCACAACAAGGAAGUCUUAGGUAUCACAUACGAAUUCAUACAGGUGAGAAGCCCUACUCGUGCCAUCUUUGUGGUAAGAGUUACGCGCAGGCACAAGGUCUGAGAUUUCAUUUGCAGGUUCACUCGAAUGAAAGGCCGUUUAGUUGCGAUCAGUGCGAUAAGAAGUUUUUUUCGGCAUCUCUGUUAAAAGAGCACAUAAAGAUUCAUACAGGUGAGAAGCCAUAUUUGUGUUCUGUUUGUGGGAAGAGGUUUCCAACACUUAAAACAGUAAAAAUGCACCAGAAGAGGCACGCGGGUGUGAAGUGCUCUGUGUGUGAAAAUGUAUUUUUGGGACCCAAAGAGCUGGAGCAGCACCAGAAGAUUCAUACUGGAGAAAACCCCUAAAAGUGUUCACAUUGUGUAAAGAGUUUAUUGAGUCUGUGACGCUGAUCAAACACAAGUGACUGUAUACUGGAGAGAAGCUGCACCGCUGUCAUUCAUGUUGAAGAAGUUUCAGACGAUCACACAGCUGCAGAUUCACAGAGAAAAGCGCAGUGAACAAAGAUUAACUUCAGUCUUCAAGUCCAAACACAUGAUGUAAAAUGCAGAUAAACCGUACAACUGAAAUUCUCCCCAAACAAGUAAUUUCAGUGUAUUAUCUACUAAAUAGCAACAUGUUAAUUUAAUAAAGUGAAAUCAGACCAUACAGAUCCUCUCCAGGGGCCUCAUUUAAAAAACUGCAUAGAUUUCAUCCUUGAAGUGUGCGUAUGCAUAUACACUGUAAAAAGUGAAAAGUUGGAUCAACUUUAAAAUUACUUGACCUGGUAAAGUUGCAAUUUAUACUUGUACGUAUGUGUGAUUGCAUGACAGUAUAAUAAACCCUUAACACCUUUAAAAAGUAAUUAAUUUUAACUUAUAUUUUUAUUUAAAGUGUUAAUGAAUUAUUAGGAAGAACUAUUCACUAAUAUCAGACUAGUUAUGAAUCUGUUGGUAGAAUAUAAUAAUUUUAAAGAGAUUUUUUUUACUCUAAGAAGGCCUUUGACAUGUUAGAACAGACAGUCAAACCAAAAAUUAUUCAGACACCAGAUAUAAUUGUUCAAAUGUUUUAAUAGGGGUUGCAGGACACCAUAGUUUAUUGAUGUAAUUGAGAAUAGCAAAAUAAAGUAAACUGUGACACAUACAAAAACAUUAUUCAUACAUGGUAACAUUUUAGACUAUAAUGCUUUUACAUUGAAACAUGGCUUUACCUGCUAAUGCAAUACCUUCUGGCAUAAAAUGAUAAUGAGAUGCUCCCUUCUAAUGCUAAAGUUCAGUUCUUCCCGCUUUAUACAUUGGUGAUAUUGAUUUUAAGAGUUAUCACUGUACUAACAAAUAUAUAAGAUAUAUAAGUUAAAAUAAAUAAUUUAGAUCACAAUAAUGUAAAAUAUUUUAGAACAGCUUAUUUAGGCUAUUGUGCUAUUCCUCCAAAAGCAAAAGAAACCGAAUA